rnacentral:rRNA from 1 species
GACGUAGGGCGCGAGCGUUGUCCGGAUUUAUUGGGCGUAAAGAGCUCGUAGGCGGUUUGUUACGUCGUUCGUGAAAACUUGGGGCUCAACUCCAAGCUUGCGGUCGAUACGGGCAGGCUAGAGUUCGGUAGGGGAGACUGGAAUUCCUGGUGUAGCGGUGAAAUGCGCAGAUAUCAGGAGGAACACCGGUGGCGAAGGCGGGUCUCUGGGCCGAUACUGACGCUGAGGAGCGAAAGCGUGGGGAGCAAACAGG